rnacentral:rRNA from 1 species
AUUGAACGCUGGCGGCAGGCUUAACACAUGCAAGUCGAGCGGAAACGAUGAUAGCUUGCUAUCAGGCGUCGAGCGGCGGACGGGUGAGUAAUACUUAGGAAUCUACCUAGUAGUGGGGGAUAGCUCGGGGAAACUCGAAUUAAUACCGCAUACGACCUACGGGAGAAAGGGGGCAACUUGUUGCUCUCGCUAUUAGAUGAGCCUAAGUCGGAUUAGCUAGAUGGUGGGGUAAAGGCCUACCAUGGCGACGAUCUGUAGCUGGUCUGAGAGGAUGGAUCAGCCACACCGGGACUGAGACACGGCCCGG